UACGGGGGGGAGCAAGCGUUGUUCGGAUUUACUGGGCGUAAAGGGCUCGUAGGCGGUUCGUCACGUCGGGAGUGAAAACUCGGGGCUUGAACCCCGAGCCUGCUUCCGAUACGGGCAGACUAGAGGUAGGCAGGGGAGAGCGGAACUCCUGGUGUAGCGGUGGAAUGCGCAGAUAUCAGGAAGAACACCGGUGGCGAAGGCGGCUCUCUGGGCCUUACCUGACGCUGAGGAGCGAAAGCGUGGGGAGCAAACAGG
rnacentral:rRNA from 1 species